UACGUAGGUGGCGAGCGUUACUCGGAAUUACUAGGCGUAAAGCGUAUGUAGGCGGUCGUAUAAGUCUUUAGUGAAAUUUCUCGGCUUAACCGAGAAAGGUCUAAAGAUACUGUUUGACUUGAGUGUGGGAGGGGGAGACGGAAUUCCUGGUGUAGCGGUGGAAUGCGUAGAUAUCAGGAGGAACACCGAUGGCGAAAGCAGUCUCCUGGCCCAAUACUGACGCUAAUGUACGAAAGCUAGGGUAGCAAACAGGAUUAGAUACCCUGGUAGUCCUAGCUGUAAACGAUGUUCACUAGAUGUGGGAGGUAUCGACCCCUUCCGCGUCGAC
rnacentral:rRNA from 1 species